UACAGGGGGUGCAAACGUUGCUCGGAAUCAUUGGGCGUAAAGCGCACGUAGGCGGUUCGUUAUGUCGGAUGUGAAAGCCCUUGGCUUAACCGAGGAAGUGCAUCCGAAACUGGCGAGCUAGAGUACUAAAGAGGAUCGCGGAAUUCCCGGUGUAGAGGUGAAAUUCGUAGAUAUCGGGAGGAACACCGGUGGCGAAGGCGGCGAUCUGGGUAGAGUACUGACGCUGAGGUGCGAAAGCGUGGGGAGCAAACAGG
rnacentral:rRNA from 1 species